UACGUAGGGUGCGAGCGUUAUCCGGAAUUACUGGGCGUAAAGGGUGCGUAGGCGGUCUUUCAAGCCAGAAGUGAAAGGCUACGGCUCAACCGUAGUAAGCUUUUGGAACUGUAAGACUUGAGUGCAGGAGAGGAGAGUCGAAUUCCUAGUGUAGCGGUGAAAUGCGUAGAUAUUAGGAGGAACACCAGUAGCGAAGGCGGCUCUCUGGACUGUAACUGACGCUGAGGCACGAAAGCGUGGGGAGCAAACAGGAUUAGAUACCCGGGUAGGUCCCUGA
rnacentral:rRNA from 1 species